UACGGAGGGUGCAAGCGUUAUCCGGAAUCAUUGGGUUUAAAGAGUGCAUAGGCGGUAUGAUAAGUCAGGUGUGAAAGGCCGAAGCUUAACUAUGGAACUGCCUUUGAUACUGUUAUACUUGAAUAGAGUUGAGGUUGGUGGAAUGUGUGAUGUAGCGGUGAAAUGCAUAGAUAUGCCAUAGAACACCGAUGGAGAAGUCAGCUGUCUAGACUUUUAUUGACGCUGAGGAACGAAAGCGUGGGGAUCAAACAGGAUUAGAUACCCUGGUAGUCCACGCCCUAAACGAUGCUUACUCGAUGUGAGACUUACGGGAUGCGCGCCCAAGGCAAACCGUUAAUUAAGCCACCUGGCUGAGUACGUUCGAAAGAAUGAAACUCAUAGGAAUUGACGACGGUCCGCACAAGCGGUGGAGCAUGUGGUUUAUUUCUAUGAUACGCGAGGAACCUUACCUGCAAUAGAAUGCGAGUACUGUUAUGAGAAAUCAGGAUCUCCUUCGCGACGCAAAGCAACGUGCGGCACGGUGGUCUUCACAUCGUGCCUUGAGGGAUUGGGGUAAGUGUCGCACCGAGCGCACCCCCUAUUCUUAGUUGCCACCACGUAAUGAUGGGGACUCUCGGGAGACUGCCGGCGUAAGCUGUGAGGAAGGUGGGGAUGACGUCAAAUCAUCAUGGCCUUUAUGUCCAGGGCUACACACGUGCUACAAUGGCGAGUACAGAGGGUAGCGAAAUCGCGAGGUGGAGCCAAUCCCAGAAAACUCGUCUCAGUUCGGAUUGGAGUCUGGAACUCGACUUCAUGAAGUUGGAAUCGCUAGUAAUCGCGCAUCAGCCACGGCGCGGUGAAUACGUUCCCGGGCCU
rnacentral:rRNA from 1 species